AGAGUUUGAUCAUGGCUCAGGAUGAACGCUGGCGGUAUGCUUAACACACGCAAGUCGAACGAAAGUCUUCGGAUUUUAGUGGCGGACGGGUGAGUAACGCGUGAGGAUCUGCCUAUAGGUUGGGGACAACAGAUGGAAACGUCUGCUAAUACCCAAUGUGCCGAGAGGUGAAAGCUUUAGUGCCUGUAGAUGAGCUCGCGUCCGAUUAGCUAGUUGGUAGGGUAAAGGCUUACCAAGGCGACGAUCGGUAGCUGGUCUGAGAGGAUGAUCAGCCACACUGGGACUGAGACACGGCCCAGACUCCUACGGGAGGCAGCAGUGGGGAAUUUUCCGCAAUGGGCGAAAGCCUGACGGAGCAAUACCGCGUGCGGGACGAAGGCUUUUGGGUCGUAAACCGCUUUUGUUAGGGAAGAACACAAUGACGGUACCUAACGAAUCAGCAUCGGCUAACUCCGUGCCAGCAGCCGCGGUAAUACGGGGGAUGCAAGCGUUAUCCGGAAUUAUUGGGCGUAAAGCGUCCGCAGGUGGUUUAUCAAGUCUGCUGUCAAAUCGUAGGGCUUAACCCUAUAAAGGCAGUGGAAACUGAGAGACUAGAGUACGGUAGGGGUAGCGGGAAUUCCCAGUGUAGCGGUGAAAUGCGUAGAUAUUGGGAAGAACACCAGCGGCGAAGGCGCGCUACUGGGCCGAAACUGACACUCAUGGACGAAAGCUAGGGGAGCGAAAGGGAUUAGAUACCCCUGUAGUCCUAGCUGUAAACGAUGACAACUAGGUGUUGCGCGUAUCGACCCGUGCAGUGCCGUAGCUAACGCGUAAGC
rnacentral:rRNA from 1 species